GACGAACGCUGGCGGCGUGCUUAACACAUGCAAGUGGAGCGACGAACCAGGGCUUGCCCUGGGGCAGAGCCGCGAACGGGUGAGUAACACGUGGGUAACGUGCCCCGAUGAUCGGGACAACCCGGGGAAACCCGGGCUAAUACCGAAUGUGCUCCCCUCACACCAGUGAGGGAUGGAAAGGAAGCUUCGGCCUCCGCAUCGGGAUCGGCCCGCGGCCCAUUAGCUUGUUGGUGAGGUAACGGCUCACCAAGGCUGCGAUGGGUAGCUGGUCUGAGAGGACGAUCAGCCACACUGGGACUGAGACACGGCCCAGACUCCUACGGGAGGCAGCAGUGGGGAAUCUUGCGCAAUGCGCGAAAGCGUGACGCAGCAACGCCGCGUGGGGAAGACGGCCUGGUGUAACC
rnacentral:rRNA from 1 species